rnacentral:rRNA from 1 species
CACGUAGGGUGCAAGCGUUGUCCGGAAUUAUUGGGCGUAAAGAGCUCGUAGGCGGUUUGUCGCGUCUGCUGUGAAAACUCGGGGCUUAACCCCGGGCCUGCAGUGGGUACGGGCAGACUAGAGUGCGGUAGGGGAGACUGGAAUUCCUGGUGUAGCGGUGAAAUGCGCAGAUAUCAGGAGGAACACCGGUGGCGAAGGCGGUUCUCUGGGCCUUACCUGACGCUGAGGAGCGAAAGCAUGGGGAGCAAACAGG